GUCUACGGCCACACCACCCUGAACAUGCUGGAUCUUGUCUGAUCUUGAAAGCUAAACAGGGUUGGGCCUGUUAAUACUUGGAUGGGAGACCACCUGGGAGUACUGGGUGCUGUAGGCU
ensembl:rRNA 5S_rRNA 5S ribosomal RNA